rnacentral:rRNA from 1 species
AUUGAACGCUGGCGGCAGGCCUAACACAUGCAAGUCGAGCGGUAGAGAGAAGCUUGCUUCUCUUGAGAGCGGCGGACGGGUGAGUAAUGCCUAGGAAUCUGCCUAGUGGUGGGGGAUAACGUUCGGAAACGGACGCUAAUACCGCAUACGUCCUACGGGAGAAAGCGGGGGAUCUUCGGACCUCGCGCCAUUAGAUGAGCCUAGGUCGGAUUAGCUAGUUGGUGGGGUAAUGGCUCACCAAGGCGACGAUCCGUAACUGGUCUGAGAGGAUGAUCAGUCACACUGGAACUGAGACACGGUCCAGACUCCUACGGGAGGCAGCAGUGGGGAAUAUUGGACAAUGGGCGAAAGCCUGAUCCAGCCAUGCCGCGUGUGUGAAGAAGGUCUUCGGAUUGUAAAGCACUUUAAGUUGGGAGGAAGGGCAGUAAGUUAAUACCUUGCUGUUUUGACGUUACCGACAGAAUAAGCACCGGCUAACUUCGUGCCAGCAGCCGCGGUAAAAC